rnacentral:rRNA from 1 species
UAAUACGUAGGGUGCGAGCGUUGUCCGGAAUUACUGGGCGUAAAGAGUUCGUAGGCGGUUUGUCGCGUCGUGUGUGAAAUCCCGCAGCUCAACUGCGGGCUUGCAGGCGAUACGGGCAGACUUGAGUACUGCAGGGGAGACUGGAAUUCCUGGUGUAGCGGUGAAAUGCGCAGAUAUCAGGAGGAACACCGGUGGCGAAGGCGGGUCUCUGGGCAGUAACUGACGCUGAGGAACGAAAGCGUGGGUAGCGAACAGGAUUAGAUACCCUGGUAGUCCACGCCGUAAACGGUGGGCGCUAGGUGUGGGUUUCCUUCCACGGGAUCCGUGCCGUAGCUAACGCAUUAAGCGCCCCGCCUGGGGAGUACGGCCGCAAGGCUA